rnacentral:ncRNA from 2 species
CUUUUGUGCCAAGUAAUAGGUGUCUGUUUCCUUCGUGAAGCAAGGAAUAGAUGAAAAGGGAAUCGGGUGAAAGUCCCGGACAGUCCACGCUGCUGUAAGUCUUUAUAGGAUUCGAAGUAACCUCUGUUCCACUGAAUAGUUGUCUAUUCGGGAAGGAACUUCGAACGAGACAAAGUCAGAAGACCUGCCUGGUUACUGAUAAUAAC